rnacentral:lncRNA from 1 species
UCCAACUGGAAUAAGAGACCAAUAAGGAAAAUUUUGUUUUACUCCUCAUAAUUACAAUAAUGAUUAAAUACAUUUUAUUAUGAAAGUAAAUAAAAUUACAGAGAAUAAUAAGAGGAUAACAAUGAUAUCCAUCACCCAGCUAUAACACACCUUAACAUUUUGCCACUUGUUUCCUUUAGGCUUUUUCUUAAUUAAUAAAGUCCUUAUAAAUGUUCUCCAGUUCCAAUUUUUUCUUCCACUAUCCAGAAGUAACAGUAAUCUGAAUUUUGUAUUUUAAUCCAUAAAUAUUUAAUAAUACUUUUUCAUUUAACAUUUUUAAAUGUAAGUUUUUUAUAUAAGUUUCUCAUUUUAAAACUACCAUUUCACAGUAUGAUUUUUACACUCAGUGUUUUGAGGUUUAUAUUGAAACUUAAAGCUAAGAGAUUUAUGCCUUCAGCUUUUGUGAUACUAUGAAUGAGGUCUUUGUUUCAAGUACAUUUUCUAAUUGGUUAGAGCCAGUAUAUGGGAACUCUAAUGACUUGGAAUCAAAGAACCUUUCUCAACUCAUUUAAUAAUUUACAAUAGUUUAUAGUUUCAUCAAAUUUUCUACAUGGGCAAUCAUCUGAGAAUAAGGACAAGCAAGCAGUUCUAGAAUGAUCAUCUUUCUCAGUGUGAUCUGCUACUCUGCAGAAUAAAAAGCUCACAGGAUAUCUGAUUUCUAAACUAAGAUCACUCUCCAGUACCUACAAACCUAUGUUCGUAUGCAGUUAUUCAGGAUUCUCCUAUUUCCCAUCUUGAAUGCUUUACAAGAUAUAUUAUUCUAAAGAUGCUCUUUUCUUGCUCUGUCACCCAAAUAUUUUAUUUCCCAGAGAUUUCUUGAUUUGACUUCAAACGGAGCACUCUAAAACAAAGAACUGGAAACAAAUGCAAAGCGGUAUUUUUUAUUUCAAGAAAAGCAUAUUACCUCAUUUAAAAACGAUGAGAUUUUUAGAGAAACGUUCUUUAGAUUUAGGAAUCUUCUAAUUAGAUUUCUACAUGAAUAGAUUGAAGCAAAGAUUCUCUUUUUGUUUGUCAACACAAAUUGGAGAAAAAAUAUGAGUUCAACAUCAUCUGCUCUCAUAGAGAAGAAAAGUAAAGAGUCACAUGAAAAUAAAGGUCAAAGACCUAUUAUUAUCUUUUUGGCAUUUAUUCUGACCUCCUAACAUUGCUAGGAAAAAAAGACCAGUAAUCUUAAUAAAGCAAGAGUCUCCUGGGAAAGCAUCGUCUGGUUUCCAUGUGAACAGGAAGCCAGAGCUUUGACUAUGUCCUUCCUUAUUAUUUUGAAAUGACACUGUUAAAAGCUGUUUUCUUUAAACUCUGCACUAUAGAAAACAUUACCAAAUAAAUAUGUGUCAAUUAGUGUUCUUUGGAUGCAAACAAAUAAACCAACUAAACAAAAUGUUACUGGAAAUAUUUUGGGGAUAUA